rnacentral:rRNA from 1 species
CAUGCAAGUCGAGCGGAGAUUGAGAGCUUGCUCUCAUGAUCAGCGGCGGACGGGCGAGUAACACGUGAGCAACCUGCCUUUCAGAGGGGGACAACAGUUGGAAACGACUGCUAAUACCGCAUAACAUUGCCGAACGGCAUCGUUUGGCAAUCAAAGGAGCAAUCCGCUGAAAGAUGGGCUCGCGUCUGAUUAGAUAGUUGGUGAGGUAACGGCCCACCAAGUCGACGAUCAGUAGCCGGACUGAGAGGUUGAUCGGCCACAUUGGGACUGAGACACGGCCCAGACUCCUACGGGAGGCAGCAGUGGGGGAUAUUGGACAAUGGGGGAAACCCUGAUCCAGCGAUGCCGCGUGAGGGAAGAAGGUUUUCGGAUUGUAAACCUCUGUGGACAGGGACGAUAAUGACGGUACCUGUUUAGAAAGCCACGGCUAACUACGUGCCAGCAGCCGCGGUAAUACGUAGGUGGCGAGCGUUGUCCGGAAUUACUGGGUGUAAAGGGAGUGUAGGCGGGAAGGCAAGUCAGAAGUGAAAAUUAUGGGCUUAACCCAUAACCUGCUUUUGAAACUGUUUUUCUUGAGUGAGGCAGAGGCAAGCGGAAUUCCUAGUGUAGCGGUGAAAUGCGUAGAUAUUAGGAGGAACACCAGUGGCGAAGGCGGCUUGCUGGGCCUUU